rnacentral:sRNA from 1 species
AAGUGCUGCGAACCACGUGGGUCCCGGGCGCGUUUCGGGUGCUGGCGGCUGCAGCCGGAGUUCAAACCUAAGCAGCUGGAAGGGCCCUGUGGCUAGGUACCAUAGACCUACACAGGAGUAAAUCAGCCUGGUGUGCAGGGGAGGCAGACACACAAACAGAAAAUUGGACUACAGUGCUAAGAUGCUGUAAGAAGAGGUUAACUAAAGGACAGGAAGAUGGGGCCAAGAGGUGGUGCUACUGUCUACUUUAGGGAUCGUCUUUCAAGGCGAGGGGCCUCCUAUCUCAAGCUGUGAUACAGGGACCAUGGCCAACUGUGAGCGUACCUUCAUUGCGAUCAAACCAGAUGGGGUCCAGCGGGGUCUUGUGGGAGAGAUUAUCAAGCGUUUUGAGCAGAAAGGAUUCCGCCUUGUUGGUCUGAAAUUCAUGCAAGCUUCCGAAGAUCUUCUCAAGGAACACUACGUUGACCUGAAGGACCGUCCAUUCUUUGCCGGCCUGGUGAAAUACAUGCACUCAGGGCCCGUAGUUGCCAUGGUGAGUGUGCCUGUGUGGGAUACUCCAAGUAUGCAUUGCUUGUCAUCUGCGCUAGGCUCUCUUCUAGACACUGGGGAUACAGUCAUGAAUGAGACCAAAUAGAUACCUGUUUUCAUAUAUCAGCUAAUGGUUAGUGAUAGGCUUCAGAAAUGAAAUAGGUUAGUGAUAUGGCCAGAAAUGAAAUAUGCCCAGAAAUGAAUAGGAGUAGCAAAUGAUCACUUUAGAUUGGGUGAUCAAAGAACGCAAUUUUUAAGCUGUGAUCUGAAUGACAAGAAGCAGCGAUCUGAAUGACAAGAAGCAGCCAGCCAUGUACAGAAUCACAGUGAAAAACAUUUCCAGCCAAGCAAACAGCAUGUGCAAAGGUCCCAGGGUGGGAAUGAGCUUGGCUUUUUAAAGUACGGGAGGAGAGUUGAAAUGCCUGAAGCCUGAUGGGUGGGAGGGAAGUUGGGAGGUGAAGAGUUCAGAGGCAUGGGCAGGGGCCUCCUCUCUUAGGGGUGUAUUGACCAUAUACUUCCUGAGUGCUGGGAAGCUAUGGGACACUUCACACUU